AGAAGAUGUAUGACUUAAAGCAAGAACUGGAGGACUAAGAAAAACUUGAAUUAGAGCUUUUAGCUUUAACAAUAUCUAAUCAAGCCAUUGGAGUUGAUGUUGUUUACAACAAUUUGAGGUCACAACUCCUCUCUUGAAUAUGAUUGAUUGAUGGAGUGAAGGAUUAUGGAGUGAAGACUUUGAAACUAGACAAAUAUUUUUAUUGCACUUUUGUAUUUAGCUUCUAAUGUUUAGAUUUUAAUGUGUUUUGGUUUUAGCUUCUUUCAAAGAUUAUUCACUAGACUUUUGUAUUUAACUUCUAAUAUUUCUAUUGCACUUUUAUAUUUUCAUUAGACAAAGAUUAUUCACUA